rnacentral:lncRNA from 1 species
AACUUAUAGUAUUAUCAUGAUUACAUGUUAUAUAGUAUUUUUAAUUGUAUGUAAUGUAGUUAUAGUAUAAGAGGGCCACUUGUUAGUCAGUUGAUAUACUGUUCAGUGUUUACCCUCGUUAAAUAAAGUUGAUUGAUUGAUUGAUUGAUUGAGGUAAAAUACUAAAGGCACAAAGUAUUGACAAAAUAAUAUGUAAAUAAUUUUCUAUGAUCUUUUUGCGAUCAGUGAAUAUUUCAUCAAAGUUGAUCAAACUGGCCCAGAUACUGGUGUCGAGCAGGCAUUCUG